rnacentral:lncRNA from 1 species
GGUUAUUUUAAUACUAGAAGGUCCUGCUAGGCCAUGAAGAUCCCAAUGGUCAUCCUGAUGUCCUUCCUGCACACAUUGAAACUGGGAUUUGAGCACAAAAAUCCAAAUUUGGGGGUUAUUUUAUGAAGAUCCUGAUGGCCAUCGUGAUCUCCUUUCUGCACACCUUGAAAUUGGGAUUUGAGUGCAAAAAUUCCAGAUUUUGGGGUUAUUUUAUGAAGAUCCUGAUGACUGUCGUGAUCUCCUCUCUGCACACACUGAAAUUGGGAUUUGAAUGCAAAAAUCCAAAUUUUGGGGGUUAUUUUAUGAAGAUCCUAAUGGCCAUCAUGAUCUUCUUUUUGCACACACUGAAAUUGGGAUUUGAGUGCAAAAAUUCCAGAUUUUGGGGUUACUUUAGGGGCAGAAAUCCUCCCUACCCCAUGAAGAUCCUGAUGACCAUCUUGAUCUCCUUUCUGCACAUAUUGUAAUAGAGUUUUGAGUGCAAAAUUCCAGAUUUUGGGGUUAUUUUAAGAAGAUCCUGAUGACCAUCGUGAUCUCCUUCCUGCACUUACUGUAAUGGGGAUUUGAGUGCAAAAAUCCAAAUUUUGGGGUUAUUUUAUGAAGAUCCUGAUGACCAUCGUGAUCUCCUCUCUGCACACACCAAAACUGGGAUUUGAGUGCAAA